rnacentral:tRNA from 1 species
GCCCCCAUCGUCUAGAGGCCUAGGACAUCGGCCUUUCAAGCCGGUAACAGCGAUUCGAAUUCGCUUGGGGGCA